AUGGGUUUGUCAUAUGAUUCUUUCGAAGAAGAAUUUGAUACGGAAGAGGAGGAGGAUCUUGCAAUGAUCCUAGCUAUGCACACCAAUAAAAAAUCGAAGCACGGUGAUUCGGUUAUGGGUCGGCAGAAAAUUUGGAGGGAUAGGAUUGAUGCCCACAACAGAUUGAUGAGGCACUAUUUGGUGGAGAAUCCCACAUACCCCAAGUCGUACUUUCGUCGCCGGUUUAGGAUGAGCACCGAGUUGUUCAGACGCAUUGCAGAGAAACUAGCGAGCCAUGACCGGUUUUUUCAGCAGAGGAGGAAUGCCGUCGGAGAGCUCGGGCAUAGCACCUUUCAGAAGGUGACAGCCGCUUUGCGUAUGUUGGCAUACGGUAUUCCGGCGGAUCUAGUUGAUGACCACUUGGUCAUGGGUGAGAGCCAAGUCAUCAUGUGUGUCAAGCGCUUCGCAGUUGGAAUUGUGCAAGUGUUUGGCCCGGAGUACUUGAGAACUCCCAAUACUGAAGAUGUCUCAAGGCUAUUGGAGAUGAACAAAGCUCGCGGGUUCCCAGGUAUGCUUGGCUCAAUAGAUUGCAUGCAUUGGAGUUGGAAGAAUUGUCCAAAGGCAUGGCAUGGACAAUUCCACGGACAAAAAAAAAGCACUAUAAUCCGUGCGAGUGCGGCGGAGGGCUGA
rnacentral:rRNA from 1 species